rnacentral:rRNA from 1 species
UACGUAGGUGGCAAGCGUUGUCCGGAUUUAUUGGGUUUAAAGGGUGCGUAGGCGGUCCUAUAAGUCAGUGGGGAAAUGCUCUAGCUUAACUAGAGAGGUGCCAAUGAUACUGUAGGACUUGAGUACAGAUGAGGUAGGCGGAAUUGACGGUGUAGCGGUGAAAUGCACAGAUAUCGUCAAGAACACCUAUAGCGAAGGCAGCUUACUGGGCUGUAACUGACGCUGAGGCACGAAAGUGUGGGGAUCAAACAGG